rnacentral:rRNA from 1 species
GACGAACGCUGGCGGCGUGCUUAACACAUGCAAGUCGAACGAAGAGCGAUGGAAGCUUGCUUCUAUCAAUCUUAGUGGCGAACGGGUGAGUAACGCGUAAUCAACCUGCCCUUCAGAGGGGGACAACAGUUGGAAACGACUGCUAAUACCGCAUACGAUCUAACCUCGGCAUCGAGGAUGGAUGAAAGGUGGCCUCUAUUUAUAAGCUAUCACUGAAGGAGGGGAUUGCGUCUGAUUAGCUAGUUGGAGGGGUAACGGCCCACCAAGGCGAUGAUCAGUAGCCGGUCGGAGAGGAUGAACGGCCACAUUGGGACUGAGACACGGCCCAGACUCCUACGGGAGGCAGCAGUGGGGAAUCUUCCGCAAUGGACGAAAGUCUGACGGAGCAACGCCGCGUGAGUGAUGACGGCCUUCGGGUUGUAAAGCUCUGUUAAUCGGGACGAAAGGCCUUCUUGCGAAUAGUUAGAAGGAUUGACGGUACCGGAAUAGAAAGCCACGGCUAACUACGUG